rnacentral:misc_RNA from 1 species
GAUGAAGAACGUAGCGAAAUGCGAUAAGUAAUGUGAAUUGCAGAAUUCAGUGAAUCAUCGAAUCUUUGAACGCACAUUGCGCCCUUUGGUAUUCCGAAGGGCAUGCCUGUUCGAGCGUCAUUUCACCACUCAAGCCUGGCUUGGUAUUGGGCGCCGCGGUCGAUCCGCGCGCCUCAAAGUCUCCGGCUGAGCUGUCCGUCUCUAAGCGUUGUGAUUUCAUUAAUCGCUUCGGAGUGCGGGCGGCCGCGGCCGUUAAAUCUUUCACAAGGUUGACCUCGGAUCAGGUUGGGAUACCCGCUGAACUUAAGCAUAUCAAUAAGCGGAGGA